AGAGUUUGAUCCUGGCUCAGAUUGAACGCUGGCGGCAGGCCUAACACAUGCAAGUCGAGCGGAUGAGUGGAGCUUGCUCCAUGAUUCAGCGGCGGACGGGUGAGUAAUGCCUAGGAAUCUGCCUGGUAGUGGGGGACAACGUUUCGAAAGGAACGCUAAUACCGCAUACGUCCUACGGGAGAAUGCAGGGGACCUUCGGGCCUUGCGCUAUCAGAUGAGCCUAGGUCGGAUUAGCUAGUAGGUGAGGUAAAGGCUCACCUAGGCGACGAUCCGUAACUGGUCUGAGAGGAUGAUCAGUCACACUGGAACUGAGACACGGUCCAGACUCCUACGGGAGGCAGCAGUGGGGAAUAUUGGACAAUGGGCGAAAGCCUGAUCCAGCCAUGCCGCGUGUGUGAAGAAGGUCUUCGGAUUGUAAAGCACUUUAAGUUGGGAGGAAGGGCAGUAAGUUAAUACCUUGCUGUUUUGACGUUACCAACAGAAUAAGCACCGGCUAACUUUCGUGCCAGCAGCCCGCGGUAAUUCGAAGGGUGCAAGCGUUAAUCGGAAUUACUGGGCGUAAAGCGCGCGCACCUGGUUCAGCAAGUUGGAGGUGAAAUCCCCGGGCUCAACCUGGGAACUGCCUCCAAAACUACUGAGCUAGAGUACGGUAGAGGGUAGUGGAAUUUCCUGUGUAGCGGUGAAAUGCGUAGAUAUAGGAAGGAACACCAGUGGCGAAGGCGACUACCUGGACUGAUACUGACACUGAGGUGCGAAAGCGUGGGGAGCAAAACAGGAUUAGAUACCCUGGUAGUCCACGCCGUAAA
rnacentral:rRNA from 1 species